UACGUAGGGUGCGAGCGUUGUCCGGAAUUAUUGGGCGUAAAGGGCUCGUAGGCGGUCUGUCACGUCGGGAGUGAAAACUCAGGGCUUAACCCUGGGCCUGCUUCCGAUACGGGCAGACUAGAGGUAUGCAGGGGAGAACGGAAUUCCUGGUGUAGCGGUGAAAUGCGCAGAUAUCAGGAGGAACACCGGUGGCGAAGGCGGUUCUCUGGGCAUUACCUGACGCUGAGACGCGAAAGCGUGGGGAGCGAACAGG
rnacentral:rRNA from 1 species